UGGGGAAUAUUGCACAAUGGGGGAAACCCUGAUGCAGCAACGCCGCGUGAAGGAAGACGGUUUUCGGAUUGUAAACUUCUGUUCUUAGUGAAGAAAAAUGACGGUAGCUAAGGAGCAAGCCACGGCUAACUACGUGCCAGCAGCCGCGGUAAUACGUAGGUGGCAAGCGUUGUCCGGAAUUACUGGGUGUAAAGGGAGCGUAGGCGGGAAGCCAAGUCAGCUGUGAAAACUACGGGCUUAACUUGUAGACUGCAGUUGAAACUGGUUUUCUUGAGUGAAGUAGAGGUUGGCGGAAUUCCGAGUGUAGCGGUGAAAUGCGUAGAUAUUCGGAGGAACACCGGUGGCGAAGGCGGCCAACUGGGCUUUAACUGACGCUGAGGCUCGAAAGUGUGGGGAGCAAACAGG
rnacentral:rRNA from 1 species